rnacentral:lncRNA from 13 species
CCUGUAUGUAUCUCAUUUAACUUAAUUAUCCAAACCUAUGAGGCAGAGUGGCAGUUUUAAAACCAUUCCUUCCCCUUAAACCUGGGCAGGUUGGUGACAGCCUAGACCAAAGGGAGUGCAGUGGAAGUGAUACAAUGUAUCAUCCAAGGCUGGGCUACAGAAAUUCACACAGCUUACAUUAUGGUCUCUCGAAAUGCACACCCUCCAGACCUUCCCUCCCAGGAUGCGCCUCCCAGAACCAGCCCACCACACUGAGAAAAGCCAAAGCCACACAGAGAGGUCUGGGGCUCAAGGGGCAACCUCUUAAGUCUGAGGCCCCUGAGUGGAUGAAUCCACCCUCAAUGGAUUCACUACAGAGGAGAGAAGAGUGAGAUCAGGACCAGGAGUCGGUGGGUGCUCUGGUUGGCAGUCCCAGCUGAAUCCAGCCUUAGAGGUGCACGUGAGUGAGAAGUCUCCAGAUGACUGCAGCCAUUCACAUCCCCCUUUUGAGUCCUCCAGCUGAGGCCCCCCACAUUGUGGAGCAGGGACAAACCACCCCUCUGUGCCCUUCCUGAAUUCCUGACCACAGAAUCCAUCCAGGCAUAGUAAAAUUGUUGUUCCUUUACAUGUCUGAGUGUGAGGUAUUUUUUACCCACCAAUAAUAGUCACAAAUAGAUUAUAGUUUAUCCCAUUUCACAGAUGCAAAAACUGAGGCGAGGAGAGGUUCAAUAAUGUGCACACUGCCCUAAAGCCAGAGAGAGGCUGAGCCAAGAUUUAAACACAAGCAAUCAAGUGCCAGAGCCAGCCCUCUCCUGUGCUUCUCUCGUGAUGAAUAUCGCACCAUGGUGGGUUGCCUGUGUAAGUAUUCAUCUCCACCAUCAGACCCAGCUCCUUGAGGGCAGGGACCACAUCUCUCUCUAUUCCCAGCACUAGCUCAGUUCCUGGUGUGCAGCUAAGGCUGAGCCAGGUUUGCUGAACUGACCUGAGGAUCAAAGGGAAGCCUCUGCAGUGGGGUGGGGAGAGGGGGUCAGGGCCGAGCUGAGCCUGUUUAUGUCAUGAUCUCCUCACAGAGCUCCUCUAGUGCUGCCCUGCAAACCCCCACCCCCAGGGGUCUGGGUGGGGUCAGGUCCUUGCCCCACCCAGACCCCUGACUUAUCAACUGUGUAAAUUGAUGAUUUUCUGUCCAGCCAGCUCCCUGUGCUCUGGUGGCCCAGCUGACAGCUACAUCAGAAACAGCUGGAGUCAGUGCCUCUCAGUCCAGCAGAGCCUGCAGGCAUGUGUCAUAGCUGACCCCAUCCCCCCUGGCCAUGUCCCCAUCCC